ACCAACCAUCCCACACCACCCACUACCCCUCGUCUGUCUAAAGAAACACCACGCAGCCCGAUCCAGAUCCCCAACCUCCUCGCCUCUCCCAACCCACUCGCCGCCGGCCUCCCUUCCACCUCCUCUCCUCUGUUCGUCCACCCCCAUGCCCCCCUCCGCGUGCGCCAUGUCGGCGGCCGCGCGCCCGCCGCUCCACGUCUCGCGCAGCUGCACGCCUCUGCCGUCGGUUCGUCACCCCCGCGCUCCACUCGACACACUCCGAUUCGGACAGCCGCUGCUGGCACUCCAACAGAUCCGCCCGGCUGGCCGGCGGAGGCGAAGCGGCGACCAUGGAGGAGGAGCUGCAUGCGCUGCUCCGCGACCUUGACACGCUCAAGAAGCUCCCCGACCCGGUCUCCAUCGACCGGAUGCGAGAUCACGUGGUGAAGAUGAUGGCCUGUCCGGCGCCGCUGCUGCCACCUGAUCGAAGAUCAAGGACAUGAGCGCGGAGGCUGUGGACAGCGAAACCUAUAGCAGGCUCAUGGCACUGCAGCGAAUGGGGAUCGUCGAGAACUACGAGUGCAUCCACGACAACUCUGUCACCAUUGUGGUAAGCAUCUCACUCUUAUCUGGCUGUGAGGCGUUACUUAGAAAGCAAUUCGAGUUGGCAAUUGGCAUUGAGCAGACCUGUAACUUUCCUCUUUGAGUAGAGGACGUUAGUUGGUAUACUGUGAAGUUCUCAGAUGGAAAUCAUGGAUCAAGCAAAUAUGUAAAGGGUAGUGAGUAGAUGGAGUGUAGAUGAUUACUCUUCACUUGUGUCUUUGCAUACUAGGAUUUCCUUGAUGAAAUAUCAUGGUCAACAACAUGUACGCAACCCCACAGGAGUUUGAUGUCAAUGCAGUAAUUGCCACAUAAUCAGAUAAUACCUGUACAAGGUUGGGGAGGCACGGUCAGCGUUGGUGUUCUAGUGCAGGUCGCCGGAGCCAGAAGAGAGGAGAUGUCGUCACGUAGAGCUCAUGGGGAUAGGGCAGCCACCACUAUCGCCUCCCGCGACGACAGAGCAAAGGUGAGGAUGCUUGACUUUCGAAACUGAAAAUUGAGAUCUGCUUGUGAAACUGAACAACUGAGAUCUCCUUGUAAACAUAGCUUGAAGAUCAAGGCUAUUAUUGUGAAGUUCUCAAGGUGAUGAGCUUACUCGAGUGCUUUCCCUGGAGACUUUGCAUUUCCAGCUGACUUCUUGGAGAUUUUGAAACUGCUUGUACUGUCAUAAUUUUCAGUUUGUAAAACCAAGAAGUGUAUUUUUUCCAUUUUGAAACAAAGAUCUGCUUGCACUAUCAUACAGUAAUUUUCAGUUUGUAAAGCUGAGAAAUGUAUUUUCUAUUUGGAAACUGAGAUCUUCUUGUACUGUCAUAGUUUUCAGUUUGUAAAAUUGGAGUACUGCAGAUUUUACUACCAAAACUGUAUCCACUAUAAAAACUAAAAUAAAAUAAGCACUGUCACUGUGAUGCUUUGACUAAAAUAAAAUAAGGUUUAUCACUAUCAAAAUUUUCUAAAUGGCCAUCAAGCAAUGAAAUUUGGCUGGUCUCACAGAUUUAUGGGAUCUCCACAGCUUCUGUAGCUUCUGCAGACUUGAUUCACUAAAUUCACUAAAGCAUGGAGUAGAGAUUUAUGUGCAUCUUCUUUGUUGGCAUCUUCUUUGCUUAUGGAAGGAUGUACAGUAUGGAGUAUGGAGUACUUCAUUUCUGUGAAUGCAAGGCUUGGCAGUAGAGAUUUGUGCAACUUUUUCAGUACAGUGUAGGAGUAAGAUUUUUCUAUUCAUCUUUUAAUAGGAGUACUUCAAUGCACUUCAUCCAAGGACGAUGCAAGCCAUUUACCAGAAAGCAGAAGUAGAUUUUGGUAGCUAAAGAAAACCUUUGCCUGCUUCCAGAUUUGUGUAUACAUCUACUGAAGCAAACAAAUGUAGUACUAGUGCUAGUGCUUCCAAAAUUUGAGUACACCAGUGCAUAUUCACUCCUAUAGACAAAAGACUGUUGUAGACUCCAAUUUUAAGUGUGUUUUUGGUAAGUAAAUAAAAUCUUUGCCUGCUUCCAGAUUUGGAGUACAAAGACAAAAGACUACUAUAAGUACAUGCACAUUCUUCGGUUCCUCUUCCAUGAUAUACAUAUCGAUAAAUGAAGUGAUUGUGCUCCAACUUUGUAAGAAGAUGUUCAGAGACCCAUGUAGAAUGAUGUUUACAUUACUCCUAUAGACAGAGAGUGAUGUACUCCUUGUAUUCAUGUCUACAGUAAGAAGCAGAUAAUGCACCUUGCCAGCUGCUCUUUCCUUUGCUUUACCCUACAUUUUCUUUUCUUGGCUAUGACUAUAAAUUGAAAGUGUCAUUGCCAACUAACCAAAGCCAGCCAUGUUUAAAGAAUAAAUGUAAGCUUAACACACAACCAAAGCAAGCCAUGUUUAAUUAGCCAUAUUUGGAUGACUGAUGGAAAAUGUGGGCUGCAGGCUACACUUGCCUCCUUUAUUUGUCUCUUUUAUUUCAGUUGAGUCCUAAAUUUGAAAUUCUAGUGAUUCCUCAAAUUCUGCUAUACUGUUUAACUGAAUCAAUCUUGUGUUGUUAAUUUCUGUAAUUUGAGGUGAGGAGUACCUGCCUGGAGUGGUGUGUGCUGCAAUGACCAGGCGCGGGGGCAACGACGAUCUGUCUGGGCAGCGGGGAAGGACGCUAGGGCCACGGCGACAAGACUGGGGCGGAGGAGGUUGGGCCUGCUGCUGGCGACGGGGAUGAGCAACUGGACAACAGGGAGGAGCCUGGUGGAGGUCCUGUUGGUGGAGGGUGGAGGAGGGGCCUGCUACUGAUGACAGGGAUGAGCAGCUGGACGACAGGGAGGAGCCUGGCGGAGGCUCCGGCUGGUGGAGGGCGGCGGAGGAGGAGGAGGAUGGGCUUGCCGCUGGUCUGGACGAGCAGCUGGAGGAGGAGGAGGGGCCUGCUGCUGGCCUGGAUGCGUUGCCCUGGAGGAAGACAACGAGGAAGACGAUGAUCUGAUUUCAAGUUAGGGGUAGUUCUGUACUUUCGUUCGUUCUCACCUGGUCGGAGAUUUCUCCUAGCGAUAAUUAUUUCGGAACACAGGGAGUAGUUGCUUAUGUAAAUGUGCGAUAGAAUGAAAUUAUACAUGAGUUGCUGCUACAAUGAGCAACUGGAGAAGAUACAACACGUGAUAUAAUGAAUUUGGUUGAUUUUA